rnacentral:other from 1 species
AUGAGACUGCGGUGUUCGCGAGCCACUCAAUUCCGGGCCACAAAGCUUUUUCACGGGAUCCCAGGUCAGAAGAUAGAUGUCAUGCCCGCAUGACGGGAAAACAGAAGUUUUUUGCAGGGAACCCACCUGGUUAAACCAGGUCCGGAGAAAGCAGGCGGACGGCAUCUGCGGUUUCAUU